UUUGGGAAUGUGGAAGAUUGUGUGGACACCAACGCACUUUGGAGCAUCCCUUCUGAACUCCUGCUGGUCCCCAUGCAAGCGUUUCCAUGCUGCCUUUCUGGAUUCACUGUUUCUGGCGGUGUGUGCCCUCAGGAGGGAAAUGAUUAUUUCUAUGACAUAGUCACAGAGGAUGUGUUAGAAAUAACAAUAUUGGAGAUUAAAAGAGAUGUUUGCGACAUCCCCUUAGCAGUUGUGGAGCUAAGGAGCAAAGGCGAGAACAUUAACGAGAAGAUGAAGAA
rnacentral:lncRNA from 1 species